GGAUGUUGCUCAGAGGUAGAACACUUGCCUAGCAUGCAGAAGGCCCUGGGUUUAACUCCCAGUACCA
rnacentral:tRNA from 1 species